CAAGGCUGCCACGGUCACCACGCUUGGGCCAUCGUCGAACCAACAGCACAGGAGGCAGUUCUGGGAGUAGUACUGGGGGUGGCAGUGGGAAAACCCUUUCUAUGGAAAACAUUCAGUCCUUAAAUGCUGCCUAUGCAACGUCUGGCCCGAUGUACCUGAGUGACCAUGAGAACGUGGGUGCAGACACCCCAAAAAGCACCAUGACUUUGGGCCGAUCGGGGGGGCGGCUGCCUUACGGCGUUAGGAUGACUGCGAUGGGGAGCAGCCCUAACAUUGCCAGUAGUGGAGUUGCCAGUGAUACUAUUGCAUUUGGAGAGCACCACCUCCCUCCAGUGAGCAUGGCAUCCACCGUGCCUCACUCGCUGCGCCAGGCCAGGGAUAACACAAUAAUGGAUCUGCAGACGCAACUCAAGGAAGUGUUGAGGGAGAACGAUCUGCUUCGCAAGGAUGUGGAGGUGAAAGAAAGCAAGCUGAGUUCUUCCAUGAACAGCAUCAAGACCUUCUGGAGUCCUGAGCUAAAAAAGGAGAGAGCUCUGAGGAAAGACGAAGCUUCAAAAAUCACCAUUUGGAAGGAGCAGUACAGAGUUUUGCAAGAAGAAAACCAGGUUUGUCAUCUGAUGUCACUGUUGUGUUGGUGCAGUAGUGUGAUUGAAUGAUUUUAAUGAACUUGCAUGUCACAUUUAAGCAGCUAAAUUAUACUGGUGCUUUUCCUGGGUAAUUGGUAUGAAUAAGAUGUUUUCA